ACACUGGUGGUGAAGUGGAUAACAUACUGUCAGUCUUGCUCUAAGCAAACGUGAUCAGAGACGGGGGUUCGAAUCCCUCCCGGUGUA